CCUGCAUUGUACACACUGUGCGUAUCGAUGAUGUAAGCACAGCGCAUACAAUGUGGAUG
ensembl:miRNA